rnacentral:rRNA from 1 species
UACGGAGGAUGCAAGCGUUAUCCGGAAUGAUUGGGCGUAAAGCGUCCGCAGGUGGCAAUGUAAGUCUGCUGUCAAAGCGUCUGGCUCAACCAGAUAAAGGCAGUGGAAACUGCAUAGCUAGAGUAAGGUAGGGGUAGAGGGAAUUCCUGGUGUAGCGGUGAAAUGCGUAGAGAUCAGGAAGAACACCGGUGGCGAAAGCGCUCUGCUGGACCUUAACUGACACUGAGGGACGAAAGCUAGGGGAGCGAAUGGG